UUCGGUGGCCAUAGCGGUGGGGCCACACCCGUUCCCAUUCCGAACACGGUAGUUAAGCCCACCAGCGCCGAUGGUACUUGGGCGGGGACGCCCUGGGAGAGUAGGACGCCGCCGGAU
rnacentral:rRNA from 2 species